CACACCGCCCGUCAAACCACGAAAGUUGUACGAGCCAGAAGCAGAUGAGUUAACCGCAAGGAGACAGUCUGCCAAGGUUUGUGCGAUGAUUGGGGUU
rnacentral:rRNA from 1 species